CCUGGAGUGGUUGCAGUGCCGACUGCUUUGUCUGAGAACGUGGAUACAGUGCCCAGGCAUUGGAUGCAGUGUCCCACAAUGUUCAUGCAUUAUGUUGUGACAGAGGAUGCAGUGCCCAUGAAGGAGGAUGCAGUGAUCCUGUAUUCAUUGCAGUGCACCUGCAGUGCCACUUCAUCUGGAUGCAGUGUCCCUGCAGUGGUUGCAGUGCAACAUUUUGUGUCACUGAAUGUGGAUGCUGUGAACAUGCAGUGGAUGCAGUCAUCCUGCAGUGAUUUCAGUUCACCUGCAUUUCCUCAUCAGCUGGAAGCUGUGGUGCUGCACUGGUUGCAGUGCUGCCUUCUGUGUCCCUGAAGGUGAAUGCCGUGCCCAUGCAGUGGAGGCAGUGUACCUAAAUGUUUAUGCAGUGUGUUGUGAUGGAGUAUGCAGUGUACAUGAAGGUGGAUGCAGUGUCCCUGCAGUGGUUGCAGGGCCACCGGCAUUGUGUUGUAAUGUGGAUUCAGGGGCCAUGCUGUGGAUGCAGUGUCCCUCAAUGUGGAUGCAGUAUGUUGUGAUGGAGGAUGCAGGGCCCAUGAAGGUGGAUGCAGUGAUGCUGCAUUGGUUGCAGUGCCCCCUACAGUUCCCUGAAUGUGGAUGCAGUGAACAUGCAGUGAUUCAGUGACCCUGCAGUGAUUGCAGUGCGCCUGCAUUUCCGCAUC
rnacentral:lncRNA from 1 species